GCUGGGUGUGGUGGUGCGCACCUGUGGUCCCAGCUACUGGGGAGGCUGAGGUGGCAGGAUCGUUUGAGCCCAGGAAGUGCAGGCUGCAGUGAGCUGAGAGUGUGCCACUGCACUCCAGCCUGGGCAAGAGAGUGAGACCCCAUCUCAA
ensembl:misc_RNA Metazoa_SRP Metazoan signal recognition particle RNA